rnacentral:snRNA from 1 species
GGAUCUGAGAGUGAUCUGGCUCUGACAUCUGUCACCCCACUGAUUGCCAGGGUUGAUUUGGCUGAUCUGGCUGGCCAGGAGGGUGGCUGCUUUCUCCUUCACUGCUCCAUGUGUGUCCUUCCAGAAGCUGCAAGCUCAGUCAAAGAGGGUAACCUUUUCCAAUAGAGGAGGACUGUACCUCGGUCAAGGUAUAUGAGUAUCUGUGCUCCCCUGCUAGAAAUUACAAACAAGCUUUCUAAGUCUAAGGCCAGGGAGGGCAAGGGGAACUAGGAGAAAUAUCAAAUGGGUACAAUGGACCCCACACCCAUGCCAGUAGAAGGUGACGAUAGAAGAGGUUUCUCUUU